rnacentral:rRNA from 1 species
UACGUAGGGUGCAAGCGUUGUCCGGAAUUAUUGGGCGUAAAGAGCUCGUAGGCGGUUUGUCGCGUCUGCUGUGAAAACUCGGGGCUUAACCCCGGGCCUGCAGUGGGUACGGGCAGACUAGAGUGCGGUAGGGGAGACUGGAAUUCCUGGUGUAGCGGUGAAAUGCGCAGAUAUCAGGAGGAACACCGGUGGCGAAGGCGGGUCUCUGGGCCGAUAUUGACGCUGAUGCGCGAAAGCGUGGGGAGCAAACGGG